GCCUAGAUAGCUCAGUUGGUUAGAGCGUGCUGUUGAUGAUGCCAAGGUUGCAAGUUCAAUCCCCUAUGGGACA